rnacentral:rRNA from 1 species
GACGAACCGUGCGACCGUUGUUCGGAAUCACUGGGCUUAAAGGGCGCGUAGGCGGACCAGCAAGUCCGGGGUGAAAUCUUUCGGCUCAACCGGAAAAGUGCCUUGGAUACUGCUGGUCUCGAGGGAGGUAGGGGUUUGUGGAACUUCUGGUGGAGCGGUGAAAUGCGUUGAUAUCAGAAGGAACGCCGGUGGCGAAAGCGACGAACUGGACCUCUUCUGACGCUGAGGCGCGAAAGCUAGGGGAGCAAACGGG